rnacentral:tRNA from 1 species
GUCUCCGUAGCUCAGCUGGAUAGAGCAUUCGCCUCCUAAGCGAAAGGCCGCGCGUUCGAAUCGCGCCGGGGACGCCA